AGUGAACGCUGGCGGUAGGCCUAACACAUGCAAGUCGAACGGCAGCACAGUAAGAGCUUGCUCUUACGGGUGGCGAGUGGCGGACGGGUGAGGAAUACAUCGGAAUCUACUUUUUCGUGGGGGAUAACGUAGGGAAACUUACGCUAAUACCGCAUACGACCUACGGGUGAAAGCAGGGGAUCUUCGGACCUUGCGCGAUUGAAUGAGCCGAUGUCGGAUUAGCUAGUUGGCGGGGUAAAGGCCCACCAAGGCGAUGAUCCGUAGCUGGUCUGAGAGGAUGAUCAGCCACACUGGAACUGAGACACGGUCCAGACUCCUACGGGAGGCAGCAGUGGGGAAUAUUGGACAAUGGGCGCAAGCCUGAUCCAGCCAUACCGCGUGGGUGAAGAAGGCCUUCGGGUUGUAAAGCCCUUUUGUUGGGAAAGAAAAGCAGCAGGUUAAUACCCCGCUGUUCUGACGGUACCCAAAGAAUAAGCAUCGGCUAACUUCGUG
rnacentral:rRNA from 1 species